GAUGAAUGCUGGCGGCGUGCCUAAUACAUGCAAGUCGAGCGGUAACAGGUCUAGUUUACUAGAUGCUGACGAGCGGCGAACGGCUGAGUAACGCGUGGGAACGUGCCCCAAAGUGAGGGAUAAGCACCAGAAAUGGUGUCUAAUACCGCAUAUGGUCUUCGGAUUAAAGGAUUUAUCCGCUUUGGGAGCGGCCCGCGUUUGAUUAGAUUGUUGGUGAGGUAAUGGCUCACCAAGUCGACGAUCAAUAGCUGGUCUGAGAGGAUGAUCAGCCAGACUGGAACUGAGACACGGUCCAG
rnacentral:rRNA from 1 species